UUAGAUAUCAUGUCAACCAAAUGAUGGAACCAAUGUACAAGAAUGGAAUUUGAACAGAGGAAAAGUUUUUUUUGCCCAUGGAGACGUUUUGCGUACAGGGAAAUUGCACACGAACAAAAGACAAUCAAUGCAUGAUAAAAGUCGACUUAAUUCGCGGAAUAUGGAGUGAAACGUGGCAAUAGAUAAUAAGCUGCUGCCAUCAUCGCCGAAAAAAGUGAUGAGCGUGAAAAAUUGGAUCGUGUAUUAUGCAACACCACACUAUCAAUACGUAUUUUCCAUGCAACGCUAUUUUUUUUCUAUCACAUUGCCAUUCGGCUUAACCCAAAAAAUUGACUUUGAAAAUAUUAUCCGGGAUUAAUUCAACUUAUUUAUUUCACAUAGUUCAAUUCAACGACAUGUCAUCAAUUAUGUCAAAAUAUUGAUUGAUUUUUCCAAAAUUUCACAGCAAAAUUGCCAUUCUUUCAUUUUUUUGGUGGCUAAAUGAUGGGGCGGAAUGGUUUCAGAUGUAAAUUUCAAUAAAGUGUCAACCAUUUACUUGCCCCCUGUUACUUAUACAAUAAUAACAAAGUUUCGACUAACGUAAACAUUUGUUCGGGCUUAAUUUUAUUAGCGAUGCUUAUCAGAAGAAUUUCUAAUCCAUUACCAUCCCACAAACUGUAUCAUUUACGCCCAAUGGAAUGCAUAAAAUGUUCGGUUGUAUCAAAAUUAAUAACUUAGUUACUGUUGUUAAUCAUAUUAAACAAAUUUAAUUUUUGUUCAUUCUUAUGUCUAUAUAGUGCCAAAUGUACGGCGCAUUAGCUAUAUAUCUAAUUGAUUAUUUGAUGGGCGUUAUGAGUGAGUGCGUGCGUGCAUGCAUGUAUGUUUAUGUGUGCUUCGCUCACAAUCGGCCAAUUUUCAUAAACAUUUGCACAUUGCAAAUUAGUUUAACCAUAUUCCGAUUUUGCAGAUCGUACACUGCUAAUUUCAGAAACAGUCGAGAAUCAAUGCGAAACGAUUAUAAAACGAUACCAAAAAUAAAUUCUGUAUCAACUGAGUGCACACAAUAUCGAAAUCAAAUAAAUUCACCAAGUAAAUACGUGCAAGCAGUGAAGUGAGCGAGCGACUUUAUGUUUGUUUCUGUGUGGUUGUUAUGUAUUUGAAACUAUGACUACUCCUCUAUGGUUGACGAGUGGAAAACUCGAACGUUGUAUAAAGUGGCGCCAUUUCGCAGUCAUCAAAUUCGAAUGUGUGCAUCAUAUAUAUCUGUUGCUUCCAGAAUAAGUCAAUUAGAAUAUGAAUGUUCACAUUUUUCGCUGCUGCGUACAAAAAUACCGGUGGAGGUGGAAUCUGCUCGAAGAAAAUGCACGCAAAAUAGAUAGUGAACCAACAGUUUGUUUGGGUUUCUCCUAAGUUACUUCAUGGAAAUGCUUAAAAUAUAGCAUAAUCAUGAUUGAUUGUUACAACUAGAAAAUGGAGCAAAUAUGUUUUACAUGAAUAUUUUACACAAAGCACGCAUUUCCAUUGAACAUUUGGACGCGUUUCUUGUUGCUGUUUAUCGUUCAUCUUGGAAUUUAUCCGGCAUACAAUGAGUGUUGCAUAUAUGUGUGAGUGUGUAUUUGUAUUGCAGGAAGCAAAUUUCAAGCACAAGCAUUCACAAAGCAAAAAAAAAUUGAUACCGAAUCGAUUAAUGCAAACAUGGAAAACAAGAGAAGAAAGAAGUAGACAUGGGCUGACUUGGAGCGUUGGAGUGAAAUGACAAUUCAAUGUAUGACCAAGUUCAUAUGAAUACAUGAAUGACAAUUCAAAUCUGCAUCCCAUUAUCAAUUUAAAUGCGAUGUUUACUGAUGACCACAGUAUUCGUAUCUACUUUACUUUGGCACAUUGCUCUGGCCAGAGCAACACAAAUUCACUUACUCAAUCCCAUUUCGAACCAUAUUGUUCCAUACAAAAUGUGCUCUGAAUCCGGUGAACGAUGCUGUUCAACAUCAACAACAACAAUACAGUUUGUGUGCAUGUGUGUGCUUGGAAUAAAAUGAGCCAAGUAAUUAUAAUAGAUUUUUAUACAUUUAAAUUCAGCGCUGCGGUUACUCACUAAUUAGAUUCACAGAAGAUCGGUAAAACAGCCAGCUCACCGGGGCCAUUUUAUUUGUUGCCAUCAUUUUCGUAUCGUUGCCAUAACGUAAUGAUUCACACCAAAUUAAAUAACACGAUACAAACUGGACAUAAACAAAAUUAUAGUGGCAUCGAAUGGAUCGGUAUCAGUGCCGCCGAAAAAACACCCACCGAUUUCUUUGCAGCCAUAUAAAAACGAAAUCAUUUCAAGCGGAACACUUUUUAUUCCACAAAAAGAAAAAUAUUGUUGUUAUUCAACAGGAAAAUGAUAUACUUAACCAUGUGAAUGCACAACCCGUUGAGUGUUUAUUGUUUGAAUCAACAACGUAAGACAUAAUACAUAUGUAUAAUUGUUAUAGCAAUGCAAGUUGUGAUUCAUUUGAUAUUCAUAACGUUUAGAAGUAAAAUCGUGUCUACUAAUCGUGUUUAACAUGAAACGAACUUAAUUUCGUUAGUCCGAUUUUUUGUUAUUGCAUGAAAUCACUUGCUUUUGGAUAGCCUGCCAAAUCAAAAUCAGGGCUGCAAUUCUAUGACAUUCCACCAAAAUCGUUCGGAAUUAUUUUUUUGGAGGCGACUAUAUUUGAGUGAAAGAGAGACAUUCCACUAAUUUUCAUCAUCCCAGCCAAAUUACUGCGAUAAAUAUCACCUUUCCUUGAGUUAUCGGAAUAAUUCCGGUAGAAAGAUGAAAAUCAGUGGAAUCUCUCUCUCUCUUUCACUCCAAUAUAGUCUUACGUACGAAAAAAAUAAUUCCGAACGAUCUUGGUGGAAUUUCAAAGAAUUCCAGCCCAGUACCAAAGCGGAAUUUAGCUCAAUUAAUCAACCCAAAGAUAGGCUAAAAAUUGCAUUAUCGCUGGAAAAUGUGUCAAACUAAGAAAAAAACAACAACAGAGGCAUGCCAUGAGAGACAUGUAAGUUGGUGAAUGCCUAAAAGCUGGCCCAAUUAAAAUCAAAUACAUCAGUCCUAAUGUCAUUCCAGCGACGAGAUCUGGAUUUUGAAUGACAGACAUACACGCGACAACGAAGAGAACCAUCUGCGACAUUCAUGAUUUAUUCCCUCGAAACGCAAUUAAUUGAGUUCAUUUGCGAAAGAGCUGUGAACAGUGAAACACAUCGCGUCGUUCGAUUUUCAUAUUUACAUGCCGAUUUACUACUGAUAAAUCACAAGUGCCAUGCAUAUUUUGCAAGCGUAUUCACGUUUUAUUUUUCCUGUUUGGCUCUAAUAAUCUACAUUGAUGCCAUUUUGUAAUCGAAUGAUUAUUUGCAAAUAGUCCUUGGCUGGAAGCAAGUAGCCGGAUAAAAGCGGUAGAUUUCGGGAAGUGGAUCCAUUUAACCUACAAAAUACCAUCAUCGAUUCAUAUAAUUCCGCUUACAUCAAUCAAUCGGUAUGGAUGUUUCGCUUCCAAUGCUAAAAAUAUAAUCGAUACAUUCGAGUAAUGAAUAUCUGAAAGAAGAGCAAUUGCGAAACAACAAAUAAAUUAAUUAACUCACUGCCAUUUCUUGUCUGCAGGAUUUCAUUUUCAUUGCUGCAGGUGUUUAUUGUCAUUGUAAUAAUAAGAGAGUUCUCUAUCUCAAUCUCGCGCUCUAUUUAUCAAAAAAUGGUCAGACUAGAGAGUCAAGACUGGAUUGCGGCUAAAAAUGAAGUUGACUAAUUAGAAUUUUCAAUUACAAUAGAAAUUCAACCGAAAAUGAGGCAACGAAAUUGAUGCGCUCCAGGCUAUAGAUUGUAACAAGUCUCGCUUUUCAAUUAUGCCCUUUUGCAAUAGACGCUUGCUUACACUCCUACUACAUCCCUAUCCAUUCCAAUGCCCAAUAACGGUUUAGUAAUAGCAAACGCAUACGACUCUUUUGCUAGAGAUAUAAAUAUACAGAACAUUAGCAGAAUCAAAAGAGUGGCCAGAUUCAAAGUUGUAGUUCUAUCAGUACUUCAGUUUCCGUUCAGAGGUCAACUGAAGCAUUCUUCAUACAAACCAGAUUUAGAUAUGUAUGUGGUUGUGUGUACGUGUGUAUGUAAAACUUCAAGAUUCGAGACACAACUAGUAAGAAAAAAAAGGAACUGCGAAAAUUCAAAGGAAUAAAUAAUAAUGUCUAUUGACUAGAUCGAGAGGAGACCGUUUCAUCAGGCGAUCUCGGCAAAGUGUUUAUUCUGUAUCAACCAUUGUAAUACAUUGGACCAUUUCCAACGUGAAAGUUUUCGAAUUUUCUACUUGGCACCGGCCCGUGUGACUGAGGACAGAUUUUAAUUAUGAGCUAAUAAUAAUCGGCGGAACUUGGGAAACUUUAUAAUAUGACGAUCGCAUCAAGAUGUUACGAAUCUGAUUUGUGGAAAAUCUGUGGAUAAAGAAAUGGAAUGUUUGCAAGGAUUUCGAGCUUUUCAUCGACAUAAUGAUGAAAUGUCAUCAUUAUAGGAUAUUAAUCCUAUUAGACUGUUAAAUGAUGACUUUUAUACUCCGUUUGCCGCGCAGUAUCUAAAAUAAAUAUUUGAUUCUUUUAAACGCUAAAGAUAACAACGACGACGACAUUUCUGCUGCCGAUGUCUUCAGCUUCAUUACACCGUACCGAUUUGGUACUUAGUCAAGCCGGAAAAGACAAAAGGGCACGAACAUGAUACAAUAAACAUCUGAUGCAACAGUAAAAACAAUAAUAAAAACUAAAAAAACCAAAAAAUCCACCACUAAUUUAAAGAAAAAUCAAAUUACGUUAAGCCAAAGAAGCAUUGUGUGCGGUGGAAAAUGUUUGAAACACUGUGUGUGCGUGUGCGAAACAAAUGGUGAUUGACAAGUGAAUAUGUGUGAAAACGACACACCAACGUUUUGGGGCCGAUGAUUAAAACAAUUCCGUUUGUUUGUGACAAGUAAAAGUACUCGGAGGUGUAUUCGUUGUGUGUUUAUCUACACGGUUGACGGCCCAAACACGUCCAGCAACAACACACAUAGCACAGCACAGCACGGCACAGCGGUGCAGUAUUAAAAUUUCAUUGUAUGUUCCAAAGUGAAUAUCAUCAGGAAUAUUAUCGCUUGUAAACAUCUGUGAUAUCAAAUAAAUAAAAACCAACAGAAAAAAAA